GACGAACGCUGGCGGCGUGCUUAACACAUGCAAGUCGAACGGGCCUUGUCCCCUUUUUUUUUGGGGGUGGGGUUAGUGGCGAACGGGUGAGUAACACGUGAGUAACCUGCCCCUCACUUCUGGAUAACCGCUUGAAAGGGUGGCUAAUACGGGGUGUUCUGGCCUGCUCGCAUGGGUGGGUUUGGAAAGAUUCGACCGGUUUUGGUUGUUUUGGUGGGGGAUGGGCUCGCGGCCUAUCAGCUUGUUGGUGGGGUGAUGGCCUGCCAAGGCUUUGACGGGUAGCCGGCCUGAGAGGGUGGGCGGUCACACUGGGACUGAGACACGGCCCAGACUCCGACGGGAGGCAGCAGUGGGGAAUAUUGCACAAUGGGCGCAAGCCUGAUGCAGCGACGCCGCGUGAGGGAUGGAGGCCUUCGGGUUGUGAACCUCUUUCGCCAGUGAAGAAGGUCCUGCUCUUUGUGGUGGGGUUGACGGUAGCUGGGUUAAUGAAGCGCCGGCUAACUACGUG
rnacentral:rRNA from 1 species